GGCUCUGCACAGGGAGCCUGAUGUGGGACUCGAUCCCAGAAUUCUGAGAUCAUGCCCUGGGCUUUGAAGGCAGACGCUCAACCACUGAGCCACCUAGGAUUCCCCAAGAUUUUUUUUUAAUCCUUGCUGACUUCCUAGCUUUCAUACUAUGAAAAGAAGAAAGUUUAUCUUCAGUUUAAGUUUAGAAGCCUAAACUUCUAAAAGAAUUACUCGUCAGAUUUUCUACUUGUUUUCUAGCCUGGCCUUGCCUUUUUUUUUCCACUUUAAAAUAUUUUUUUUGUAUUUAUUCAUGAGACACACAGAGAGAGGCAGAGACACAGGCAGAGGGAGAAGCAGGCUCCAUGGAGGGAGCCCAAUGUGGGUCUCAAUCCUGGGACUGGGAUCAUGCCUAAGACGCUCAACUGCUGAGCCACCCUGGCGUCCCUGGCCUUGCCUCUUGGAUAAACAAAUAUAAAUCCUGGAAUUGGGAGUGACCAUCAUACAGGCAUGAAGAUCCAAGUCACACCCUUAAGUGUGUUGGAGGAGGAAGAGAGGCAAAGAAUGGCUUUUCCUGCCCAAAACUGCCUACCCCUGGAUCCCUGUUAUUUUGAAAAAUAAACACCUUGUGUUAGCUAC